CCUUCGAUAGCUCAGUUGGUAGAGCGGGGGACUGUAGAUUUAUAAUGGUGAUCCCAAGGUCGCUGGUUCGAAUCCGGCUCGAAGAA
rnacentral:tRNA from 2 species